UUGGAUAUAAGGUUUGGGUCGGGGUCGCCCGGGUGGAUUGACCCAAUCCAUUUUAAAAAGAGAUAAAGAAAACGGGUAUAAAACCUAAGAGGUUGCAGGUAGGUUUUUACUAGCACUGCACAUUUUCUUUUGAGAAACGUGAGAACGUAGAGGAGUGGUUAUCAUCGGUAGUUCUGCCCAUCUCCUCUUCUCUAUAUACUUCUCUUCAAUACAGAGAUUCAGAGAUGCAAAGAAAUUGAUUCUCUUCCUUACAGAGAUUCAGAGGGGCAAACAAAUUGAGAAAGGAAGAACACAGUGAACUUUAAGCACUUAGUUUGUGAACAAAAACUCUGUUUCCUGGAGAUUCAGAAUACGAUUUGGGAAAUUCUUUUGGUGUUGAGUUCAAUGAUUUCCGCUGCAUCAAUGAGGUACACAAUUGGUUAUUCUCUCCCCUCAGUUUAAUCUAACAAUGGCGUCAGAGCCGGCGUUGUUUCUAGUUUCUUUAAACAUGAAAUAAUAGCAAACUCUGUUGAAAAAGUUUGGUUCAGAAAAUUGAAAAAUAAGUACUAAAAUGGCAUUAAUUUUUUUUCUACCAUCUAUUACUGUCAUUUAAUGGUAAUUUAAUUGUUACUCUUCACGUAUUCAGUAAACUUUGAUCAAAUUGAGGCAGAAGUGAUGAUUAUUCUGAUUGUGGAGUUACUGCCAACCUAUGGUAGUACCUGAUAAUUCACUACUGGAUUUGGUUGAGAACGACCGAUCCAACUUUGUUAGAUUGCUAAUGCAACAUAACAAUCAGAAUAGUAAUUAACUUGUUUAUUCUACAAUCAAGUCAAAGGGGUUCUCCCCAUGUUUAAAGAAUCAAUACGUAUUAAGCCAAAACAAAAUAAAUAAGGAAUAUCAUAUCAUUGAAUUACGUAGUUGAAGUACCUGCUGUGUUGGCAUCACUUAAUAGAGAUCAUGCAAAACCAUUCUCCAUGGCAGCAGAGUGGAUGUAGCUUAACAUCUUAUAUAUGUUUAACAAAAUAACUGAACUUCCUUCGGAAUUGAUCUAGUACAUGCUGCACAACCGUUGAAUGAUCUGCUUGACCUUUAGCUACAAAAGUGAUCUGAUGCUCAAUAAAACUAUGUAAUAAUCUAUUCAAAUGAUGCUGGUCAAACUAGUAGUAUAGAUCUCAGCAUGAUAAUGCUGAUAUCACGAUUAUAGCUCCUCGUGAUUACAUCUCUGUACCAACGUGUUGGAGUUUUGGUAUCUAUUUUUGAAUUAGGCAUGUAAAAUUUACGUUUCUGGUUCAUAAGCAUUCUGUUCUCAUAAUAUGCUUUCACUUGUUGAAAUUGAAAAAGUAAUUUUUAUCUACUUAAUAUAGAAAAUUAAUUUAGCCCUUAUCUUGAAAUACUUCUACGAGUUAUUGUGAUAUAUGUUGUCACAUUGAGUGGUUGUAGCCAUUCUUAUUGUUUCCUUGCUCCUAUUUCAAAUAUGACUGAACAGGGAUAAGUUCGAAUUACUCCAACUGGGAGUUCUCGAAGUCAAGGAAGGGGACAACGUAAAAGGGUACGUCGUCGCCGGACUUAUUUCUAUAAUUUCAGAUAUUGUUGAACAAGGACAAUUUCGAAUUACUCCAAGUGGGAGUUCUCGAAGUCAAGGAAGAUGAUAACGUAGAAGGAUACGUCGCCACAUAACUUAUUUCUAUAGUGAUUCAGACUCUGAGCCUGAAGUCAUCAGGAAUGUCCCAAGGGCGAGAUAAAAUCAGUUAAGGGAACAAAGGCCUGAAUGAAGGAAAAGAGAAGAAAUUUAGGGAGUUUAAGGAAUUUAAGAUGGGCCCUGAUUUUUCCGUUCCUGAACAUGUACACCUCUUUAAGAUAAAAAGAGCUGAAUUGACUGAUUACGAAGAAAUUACUGAUUGAGAAGCAUUAGCUAUUUUAGCGGACUCUCUUCGAGAGCCUUGGGGGUGAUAUUUUAACUUAGAUUUAUCAUGAUGUUUGGCCUAGUGCACCUUUUAGCAUCUAUGAG
rnacentral:lncRNA from 1 species